rnacentral:rRNA from 1 species
UACGGGGGGGGUAAGCGUUGUUCGGAAUUAUUGGGCGUAAAGAGCUCGUAGGCGGUCUGUCGCGUCGGCUGUGAAAACCCGGAGCUCAACUCCGGGCCUGCAGUCGAUACGGGCAGACUAGAGUGAUGUAGGGGAGACUGGAAUUCCUGGUGUAGCGGUGAAAUGCGCAGAUAUCAGGAGGAACACCGAUGGCGAAGGCAGGUCUCUGGGCAUUAACUGACGCUGAGGAGCGAAAGCAUGGGGAGCGAACAGG